UACGAGGGGGGCAAGCGUUGUUCGGAUUUAUUGGGCGUAAAGAGCGUGUAGGCGGCCUUACAGGUCAGCUGUGAAAACUCGAGGCUCAACCUCGAGACGUCGGUUGAAACCGUAUGGCUAGAGUCCGGAAGAGGAGAGUGGAAUUCCCGGUGUAGCGGUGAAAUGCGCAGAUAUCGGGAAGAACACCCGUGGCGAAGGCGGCUCUCUGGGACGGUACUGACGCUGAGACGCGAAAGCGUGGGGAGCGAACAGG
rnacentral:rRNA from 1 species